rnacentral:rRNA from 1 species
UACGUAGGGGGCUAGCGUUGUCCGGAAUCACUGGGCGUAAAGGGCGCGUAGGCGGCCUGAUAAGUAGGGGGUGAAAUCCUGCGGCUUAACCGCAGGGCUGCCUUCUAAACUGUCGGGCUCGAGCACAGUAGAGGCAGGUGGAAUUCCCGGUGUAGCGGUGGAAUGCGUAGAGAUCGGGAAGAACAUCAGUGGCGAAGGCGGCCUGCUGGGCUGUUGCUGACGCUGAGGCGCGACAGCGUGGGGAGCAAACAGG